rnacentral:rRNA from 1 species
CUGGCGGCAGGCUUUAUACAUGCAAGUCGAGCGCAUCUUUCGGGAUGAGCGGCGGACGGGUGAGUAACGCGUGGGAAUGUGCCCUUCUCUACGGAAUAGCCACUGGAAACGGUUAGUAAUACCGUAUACGCCCUUAGGGGGAAAGAUUUAUCGGAGAAGGAUCAGCCCGCGUUAGAUUAGGUAGUUGGUGGGGUAACGGCCUACCAAGCCUACGAUCUAUAGCUGGUUUUAGAGGAUGAUCAGCCACACUGGGACUGAGACACGGCCCAGACUCCUACGGGAGGCAGCAGUAGGGAAUCUUGGACAAUGGGGGAAACCCUGAUCCAGCCAUGCCGCGUGAGUGAAGAAGGCCUUAGGGUCGUAAAGCUCUUUCGCCUGUGAUGAUAAUGACAGUAGCAGGUAAAGAAACCCCGGCUAACUCCGUGCCAGCAGCCGCGGUAAUACGGAGGGGGUUAGCGUUGUUCGGAAUUACUGGGCGUAAAGCGCGCGUAGGCGGAUUGGAAAGUUGGGGGUGAAAUCCCGGGGCUCAACCCCGGAACUGCCUCCAAAACUGCCAGUCUAGAGUUCGAGAGAGGUGAGUGGAACUCCAAGUGUAGAGGUGAAAUUCGUAGAUAUUUGGAAGAACACCAGUGGCGAAGGCGGCUCACUGGCUCGAUACUGACGCUGAGGUGCGAAAGUGUGGGGAGCAAACAGGAUUAGAUACCCUGGUAGUCCACACCGUAAACGAUGAAUGCCAGUCGUCGGGUAGUAUACUAUUCGGUGACACACCCAACGGAUUAAGCAUUCCGCCUGGGGAGUACGGUCGCAAGAUUAAAAUUCAAAGCAAUUGACGGGGCCCCCCACAAGCGGUAGAGCAUGUGUUUUAAUUAGAAGC